GAUGAACGCUGGCGGCGUGCCUAAUACAUGCAAGUCGAGCGAACGGACGAGAAGCUUGCUUCUCUGAUGUUAGCGGCGGACGGGUGAGUAACACGUGGAUAACCUACCUAUAAGACUGGGAUAACUUCGGGAAACCGGAGCUAAUACCGGAUAAUAUUUUGAACCGCAUGGUUCAAAAGUGAAAGACGGUCUUGCUGUCACUUAUAGAUGGAUCCGCGCUGCAUUAGCUAGUUGGUAAGGUAACGGCUUACCAAGGCAACGAUGCAUAGCCGACCUGAGAGGGUGAUCGGCCACACUGGAACUGAGACACGGUCCAGACUCCUACGGGAGGCAGCAGUAGGGAAUCUUCCGCAAUGGGCGAAAGCCUGACGGAGCAACGCCGCGUGAGUGAUGAAGGUCUUCGGAUCGUAAAACUCUGUUAUUAGGGAAGAACAUAUGUGUAAGUAACUGUGCACAUCUUGACGGUACCUAAUCAGAAAGCCACGGCUAACUACGUGCCAGCAGCCGCGGUAAUACGUAGGUGGCAAGCGUUAUCCGGAAUUAUUGGGCGUAAAGCGCGCGUAGGCGAUUUUUUAAGUCUGAUGUGAAAGCCCACGGCUCAACCGUGGAGGGUCAUUGGAAACUGGAAAACUUGAGUGCAGAAGAGGAAAGUGGAAUUCCAUGUGUAGCGGUGAAAUGCGCAGAGAUAUGGAGGAACACCAGUGGCGAAGGCGACUUUCUGGUCUGUAACUGACGCUGAUGUGCGAAAGCGUGGGGAUCAAACAGGAUUAGAUACCCUGGUAGUCCACGCCGUAAACGAUGAGUGCUAAGUGUUAGGGGGUUUCCGCCCCUUAGUGCUGCAGCUAACGCAUUAAGCACUCCGCCUGGGGAGUACGACCGCAAGGUUGAAACUCAAAGGAAUUGACGGGGACCCGCACAAGCGGUGGAGCAUGUGGUUUAAUUCGAAGCAACGCGAAGAACCUUACCAAAUCUUGACAUCCUUUGACAACUCUAGAGAUAGAGCCUUCCCCUUCGGGGGGGCAAAGUGACAGGUGGUGCAUGGUUGUCGUCAGCUCGUGUCGUGAGAUGUUGGGUUAAGUCCCGCAACGAGCGCAACCCUUAAGCUUAGUUGCCAUCAUUAAGUUGGGCACUCUAAGUUGACUGCCGGUGACAAACCGGAGGAAGGUGGGGAUGACGUCAAAUCAUCAUGCCCCUUAUGAUUUGGGCUACACACGUGCUACAAUGGACAAUACAAAGGGCAGCGAAACCGCGAGGUCAAGCAAAUCCCAUAAAGUUGUUCUCAGUUCGGAUUGUAGUCUGCAACUCGACUACAUGAAGCUGGAAUCGCUAGUAAUCGUAGAUCAGCAUGCUACGGUGAAUACGUUCCCGGGUCU
rnacentral:rRNA from 1 species